rnacentral:rRNA from 1 species
GAAGCCCCGGCUAACUACGUGCCAGCAGCCGCGGUAAUACGUAGGGGGCAAGCGUUAUCGGAUUUACUGGGUGUAAAGGGAGUGUAGGUGGUCUGGCAAGUCAGAUGUGAAAGCCCGGGCUCAACUCCGGGACUGCAUUUGAAACUGUCAGACUAGAGUGCAGGAGAGGAAAGUGGAAUCCUAGUGUAGCGGUGAAAUGCGUAGAUAUUAGGAAGAACACCAGUGGCGAAGGCGGCUUCUGGACUGUAACUGACACUGAGGCUCGAAAGCGUGGGGAGCAAACAGGAUUAGAUACCCUGUAGUCCACGCCGUAAACGAUGAAUACUAGGUGUCGGGGAGCAAAGCUCCUCGGUGCCGCGCUAACGCAUUAAGUAUUCCACCUGGGGAGUACGUUCGCAAGAAUGAAACUCAAAGGAAUGAUGGAGACCCGCACAAGCGGUGGAGCAUGUGGUUUAAUUCGAAGCAACGCGAAGAACCUACCUGAUCUUGACAUCCCCCUGACAGAGGACUGUAAUGGACCUUUUCCUUCGGGACAGGGAGACAGGUGGUGCAUGGUUGUCGUCAGCUCGUGUCGUGAGAUGUUGGGUUAAGUCCCGCACGAGCGCAACCCUUGUCCUUAGUUGCCAGCGGUCCGGCCGGACACUCUAGGGAGACUGCCGGGACAACCUGGAGGAAGGUGGGGAUGACGUCAAAUCAUCAUGCCCCUUAUGACCAGGGCACACACGUGCUACAAUGGCGUAAACAAAGAGAAGCAAACCUGUGAGGGGGAGCAAACCUCAAAAUAACGUCUCAGUUCGGACUGCAGUCUGCAACUCGACUGCACGAAGCUGGAAUCGCUGUAAUCGCAAAUCAGAAUGUUGCGGUGAAUACGUUCCCGGGUCUUGCACACACCGCCCGU